GCCUGCGUGGCUUAGUCGGUUAAGCGUCUGACUUUGGCUCAGGUCAUAAUCUCAUAGUUCGUGGGUUCAAGCCACAUAUUGGGCU
rnacentral:tRNA from 1 species